rnacentral:lncRNA from 1 species
CCCUCGGGCCUGCAGCGGCCUCCUCAUGGCCGCCGGGGGCUGCAGGCCCGGGGGCCGCUGGGUGACGGAGCGGCCGUUGUCAGUCAGCUCCUGUCAGUCAGCGCCCACCUCAGCCGGGCCCGUGUGAUCAGGCUCUGAGAGGGAAGGCGGGCGGCCUGGGCGGUGGCAGUGAGUCUGCAGCCCCUCUGCCAGCACCGGGGUGGGCAGUGCUUGGAAGAUUUCAUGAGUUCAUUCAGUGUUUUCUGUCUGCUUUAGGAAGACUUAGGCAGGUAAGUCACUAAUUUACAGGCCUGCUGUAGUUUUUUCAUACAAUAUCACCGGGAGAUAUUUUGACUUGUGGGUAAAUUUAACCCUUACCCAGGCUGUAGUGUUCAUCAGUUCUGUGUAGAGAAUUCAAAAGCGUUUUUUUGUAGUCCUGAAUCCCCUGGCAUAGAGGGAAACAGCACGAGAUACACUAUACCUUGCCCUGAGCCUGCUGAAAUCAAAGCUCUCCUGGAAGAGCUGGGAUGUAUCACACACUCAUGGUCUUCAGCUUGGAGCCG